rnacentral:rRNA from 1 species
AUUGAACGCUGGCGGCGUGCCUAACACAUGCAAGUCGAGCGGUAGCAGGCGUAGCAAUACGUGCUGACGAGCGGCGAACGGGUGAGCAAUGCUUCGGAAUCUGCCCAAUGGUGGGGAAUAACCAGCCGAAAGGUUGGCUAGUACCGCAUACGCCCUACGGGGGAAAGCAGGGGAUCGCAAGACCUUGCGCCGAUGGAUGAGCCGAAGUCGGAUUAGCUAGUUGGUAGGGUAACGGCCUACCAAGGCGACGAUCCGUAGCUGGUCUGAGAGGACGACCAGCCACACUGGGACUGAGACACGGCCCAGACUCCUACGGGAGGCAGCAGUGGGGAAUAUUGGACAAUGGGCGAAAGCCUGAUCCAGCGACGCCGCGUGUGUGAAGAAGGCCUGCGGGUUGUAAAGCACUUUUAGUGGGGAUGAAAAGCCUAGAGCUAAUACCUCUGGGUCUUGACCUAACCCACAGAAAAAGCACCGGCUAACUCUGUG